UUCAUGGAGGACCGAACCAGACGUCUGUUGAAAAAGGCGGGGAUGACCUGUGGAUAGCGGAGAAAUUCCAAUCGAACCCGGAGAUAGCUGGUUCUCCUCGAAAUAGCUUUAGGGCUAGCCUCGCAUUAGUUUACCGGAGGUAGAGCACUGAAUGGUCUAGGGGGCCUCACCGCCUACCGAAACCUAUCAAACUGCGAAUGCCGGAUAAAUGAUGUGCGGGAGUCAGGCCGCGAGAGAUAAGUUCCGCGGUCAAAAGGGGAACACCCCAGAUCGUCUGCUAAGGUCCCCAAGUACGCGUUAAGUGGGAAAGGAUGUUGGAUUGCACAGACAACCAGGAUGUUGGCUUAGAAGCAGCCACACAUUCAAAGAGUGCGUAAUAGCUCACUGGUCGAGUGAUCCAGCGCCGAAAAUGUAACGGGGCUAAAACGCGACACCGAAGCAGCGGGAUGCGUAAGCAUCGGUAGAGGAGCAUUGUGUGAGGAUUGAAGCCAGAGCGGGAGCACUGGUGGACUUCACAGAAGAGAGAAUGCCGGUAUGAGUAGCGAGACCCAUGCGAGAAACAUGGGCGUCGAAGGCCCAAGGUUUCCUGGGGAAGGUUCAUCCACCCAGGGUAAGUCGGGACCUAAGCCGAGGACUGAGGUCGUAGGCGAUGGACAGCAGGUAGAGAUUCCUGCACCACUUACACUUGUUUGACGAAGCAGUGACACAGAAGGAUAGGACGAGCGCGGUGAUGGUCAACCGCGUAGGCAGCACGAGGCCGGGGAGCAGUUAAGUACACUUCCCAUGAAGGCUGAGUGCUGACAGGACCGAAAAAGAGUAGGGAAGCGUCUGAGUUCACGCUGGCGAGAAAAGCUGCUAAGGAGAGUGUGAGUGCCCGUACCGGAAACCGACGCAGGUGGGCGAGGAGAGAAUCCUGAGACGGACGGGAGAACUCUUGUUAAGGAACUCGGCAAAAUGACCCCGUAACUUCGGGAGAAGGGGUGCCUCGAAAGAGGCCGCAGAGAAUAGUCACAAGCGACUGUUUAGCAAAAACACAGGUAUCUGCGAAAGCGAGAGCUGACGUAUAGGUGCUGACGCCUGCCCGGUGCUGGAAGGUUAAGGGGAAGUGUUAGGGGAAACCCGAAGCAGAGAACCGAAGCCCCAGUAAACGGCGGCCGUAACUAUAACGGUCCUAAGGUAGCGAAAUUCCUUGUCGGGUAAGUUCCGACCCG
rnacentral:rRNA from 1 species